AGCGAACGCUGGCGGCAGGCCUAAAACAUGCAAGUCGAACGAUCCUUCGGGAUAGUGGCAGACGGGUGAGUAACACGUGGGAACGUGCCCUUUGGUUCGGAACAACUCAGGGAAACUUGAGCUAAUACCGGAUGAGCCCUUCGGGGGAAAGAUUUAUCGCCAUUGGAGCGGCCCGCGUCUGAUUAGCUUGUUGGUGAGGUAAAAGCUCACCAAGGCGACGAUCAGUAGCUGGUCUGAGAGGAUGAUCAGCCACACUGGGACUGAGACACG
rnacentral:rRNA from 1 species